rnacentral:rRNA from 1 species
AGAGUUUGAUCAUGGCUCAGAUUGAACGCUGGCGGCAUGCUUUACACAUGCAAGUCGAACGGUAACAGGCCGCAAGGUGCUGACGAGUGGCGAACGGGUGAGUAAUGCAUCGGAACGUGCCCAGUCGUGGGGGAUAACGCAGCGAAAGCUGCGCUAAUACCGCAUACGAUCUAUGGAUGAAAGCGGGGGACCGUAAGGCCUCGCGCGAUUGGAGCGGCCGAUGUCAGAUUAGGUAGUUGGUGGGGUAAAGGCUCACCAAGCCGACGAUCUGUAGCUGGUCUGAGAGGACGACCAGCCACACUGGGACUGAGACACGGCCCAGACUCCUACGGGAGGCAGCAGUGGGGAAUUUUGGACAAUGGGCGCAAGCCUGAUCCAGCAAUGCCGCGUGCAGGAAGAAGGCCUUCGGGUUGUAAACUGCUUUUGUACGGAACGAAAAGGCCCUGGUUAAUACCUGGGGCUCAUGACGGUACCGUAAGAAUAAGCACCGGCUAACUACGUGCCAGCAGCCGCGGUAAUACGUAGGGUGCAAGCGUUAAUCGGAAUUACUGGGCGUAAAGCGUGCGCAGGCGGUUUUGUAAGACAGGCGUGAAAUCCCCGGGCUCAACCUGGGAAUUGCGCUUGUGACUGCAAGGCUGGAGUGCGGCAGAGGGGGAUGGAAUUCCGCGUGUAGCAGUGAAAUGCGUA